rnacentral:rRNA from 1 species
CUUGGCGGGGCGUGCCUAAUACAUGCAAGUCGAGCGAGCUUGCCUAGAUGAAUUUGGUGCUUGCACCAGUAUGAAACUAGAUACAAGCGAGCGGCGGACGGGUGAGUAACACGUGGGUAACCUGCCCAAGAGACUGGGAUAACACCUGGAAACAGAUGCUAAUACCGGAUAACAACACUAGACGCAUGUCUAGAGUUUAAAAGAUGGUUCUGCUAUCACUCUUGGAUGGACCUGCGGUGCAUUAGCUAGUUGGUAAGGUAACGGCUUACCAAGGCAAUGAUGCAUAGCCGAGUUGAGAGACUGAUCGGCCACAUUGGGACUGAGACACGGCCCAAACUCCUACGGGAGGCAGCAGUAGGGAAUCUUCCACAAUGGACGCAAGUCUGAUGGAGCAACGCCGCGUGAGUGAAGAAGGGUUUCGGCUCGUAAAGCUCUGUUGGUAGUGAAGAAAGAUAGAGGUAGUAACUGGCCUUUAUUUGACGGUAAUUACUUAGAAAGUCACGGCUAACUACGUGCCAGCAGCCGCGGUAAUACGUAGGUGGCAAGCGUUGUCCGGAUUUAUUGGGCGUAAAGCGAGUGCAGGCGGUUCAAUAAGUCUGAUGUGAAAGCCUUCGGCUCAACCGGAGAAUUGCAUCAGAAACUGUUGAACUUGAGUGCAGAAGAGGAGAGUGGAACUCCAUGUGUAGCGGUGGAAUGCGUAGAUAUAUGGAAGGAACACCAGUGGCGAAGGCGGCUCUCUGGUCUGCAACUGACGCUGAGGCUCGAAAGCAUGGGGUAGCGAACAGGAUUAGAUACCCUGGUAGUCCAUGCCCGUAAACGAUGAGUGCUAAGUGUUGGGAGGUUUCCCGCCUCUCAGUGCUGCAGCUAACGCAUUAAGCACUCCGCCCUGGGGGGAGUACGACCGCAAGGGUUGAAACCUCAAAGGAAAUUGAACGGGGGGGCCCGGCACAAGCGGGUGGGAGCCAUUGUGGUUUAAAUUUCGAAAGGCAAACGUCGGAAAGGACCUUUCACCCAGGGCUUUUGGACAUCCAAGUUGCCAAACCUC